CAAUAGCGUAUAUUAAAGUUGUUGCAGUUAAAAGCUCGUAGUUGGAUUUCUGGUCGGAGCGACCGGUCGGCGUCCUUUGUGGCGUGUGCACUGUUGUCGGCUCCGUCCAUCCUAGUGGGAAGGCGCGUUGGCAUUCAUUUGUCGGCGCGUGGCCCCGCUACGUUUACUUGUGAAAAAUUAAGAGUGUUUAAAGUACAGGCGUUCGCUGUGAAUACAUUAGCAUGGAAUAAUGAGAUAGGACUUUGGUUACUAUUUUGUUUGGUUUGUCGCACCAAGGUAAUGAUUAAUAGGGAUAGUUGGGGGCGAUUCGUAUUUAACUUGUCAGAGGUGAAAUUACUUGGAUUUGUUAAAGACGGACUACUGCGAAAG
rnacentral:rRNA from 1 species